AGCUUGUAACCUGCAUUCUCACACUGCUCUGAUUAAAGUCUCUUCAAAAAGCCAGUGACGGGACUCUCAGCCUGUUGUGUUCCUGCCUUGAGCAGCUGCCACUCUUCUCCACAGGGCCCGGAUCGAUGCAGCACCCACCUGGCACCUGCUGGGGGCAUGAGUUUCAACGUGGAGGAGCAUUGCGCCCCUGGGAGGAGGCAGCUGCCUGGCUUUCCAGGUCAGGGAUGGCAGAGGGCGGAGAGGGGGCCCAGGUCAGAGGACCUCCCCGCGUGACCCCGGG
rnacentral:lncRNA from 1 species